AUUGAACGCUGGCGGCGUGCUUAACACAUGCAAGUCGAUCGGUAACGCGGGGCAACCCUGGCGACGAGAGGCGGACGGGUGAGGAACGCUUGGGAAUCUGCCCUUCAGCGGGGGACAACACGGGGAAACUCGUGCUAAUACCGCAUACGCUCCACGGAGGAAAGCCGGGGACCGCAAGGCCUGGCACUGAAGGAUGAGCCCAAGUCGGAUUAGCUAGUUGGCGGGGUAACGGCCCACCAAGGCGACGAUCCGUAGCUGGUCUGAGAGGACGAUCAGCCACACUGGGACUGCGACACGGCCCAGACUCCUACGGGAGGCAGCAGUGAGGAAUAUUGCGCAAUGGGCGAAAGCCUGACGCAGCAACGCCGCGUGUAGGAUGAAAUCCUUCGGGAUGUAAACUACUGUUAGAGGGGAAGAAAUCUCGGUUACGCCGGGAGUGACGGUACCCUCAGAGAAAGCCACGGCUAACUCUGUGCCAGCCGCCGCAGUAACAC
rnacentral:rRNA from 1 species